CCUAGAAAAUUUAUUUUCUUUCAUCCCUCCUCACCCUGGCGGCGGCCAACAGGAGGCGGAGCCGCAGAGGCGUUGUCGCGCGGAAGCCAAGAUCCUGUCGUCCUCCUCCCAGAUCCACCCCUCUCCUUUCUGGUUCAGGCAGAAUCGCUCCACCCACACCCAUUUCCGUCCAUCUCUCCCCUUCAUUCUGUAGCGCGUAGUUGCUUCUUUGUUUUUAAUCGUACUCUGCACUUGUGCUGAUCUCUCGCGUUGUUUUCAAUCGUGUCACAACUCCCAAAUCAGGUCGUCGUGCUUGGCUAUGCCCUCCUCAUGGAGGCCUCAUGCAGUCAGUUCGUCAGCGGUUUGGACGCAGCGGGUAGGUCGGCAGCGGUGGCGGCGCCGUCGGUCAAGUUGUCACUUGUCAGACAUGUCGGUGUUGGUAAUGAUGCUCCGGCAAGAGCUGCAGCACCAUGGCCGGAAGCAGCAGACCAGAAAUAUUUGUAGAAAUUGAGAUCAAUGGGACAUGGACUGUGUGAUCUAAAACAGAUAUUUGGGCAUGUAGUAUUAUCGUUAAGCAAUUUCCCUCAGAAUAUCAGUUUUUAUGUUUUUUUGUCCAAAUUUCGAUUCAAAUUCGUCCAAAUUCGGUCAUAUUUCGGUCAAAGUUUAAAUUAUUUGACUGGUCAACUCAAUUGAAAUUCGUUCCAAAUUUUCUGAAUUUUCCAAAAUUCGUCCAGUUCGGUGGGCUCCGAAAUUUUUUAACUUUUGAAUCCCAAAACCUUGCCACCCCCUCCCCUCCCCUCCCCUCUCCAGCGGCGCGGCAUGGAGCAGCGGCGGCGGCGUGGGGCUGUGGAGCAGCAGAUCUGGGCGCUCGGCGGUCGAACUGGACUUCGGCAGCGCGGGACCUCGACGGGGCGGCGCGAGCUCGGCAGCACGCCGCGGGACCUUGGCGGCGAAGGCGACGCGGGACCCUGCAGCGUGGCUACUCAAAGCGCCGACGGCGGCACGGCCAGGCGUGUGGUGCAGGGAACAGCCACGAGCCCUCCACUAGACAGGAAGGGGUCCGACUGACGCGGAGCUUCGGCAGCGAUAACCUCGCGUUGCUCCGGCGGCUGCACCCAGGAGUGGCCUUGCGGGCCUGACUGGUGGAGCUGCUCCAGCAGCAGUCCACGGCGGCGGCGUAGUGCGCACGGAGCGACGGCGACGCGGCUCGAGGAGCAGCCGCAGCCGCCGCGCCACCGGCUUGGCCCGGGAAGCAGCGACGCACGACGCGGCUUUUUGCCUUUGGCCUUUUUUUUUCUUUAUUUGAUCUGUAGGGGCAAGUCGUGGAGUGAUCCACCCUAAAAAAGGAAUUUUUAGAGGGCAGUCAUCCCCACCAACCCUUAGAAAUUGAUUUCCAUGGAUGGGUUGGGGGUCACCCGCCCCCACAAAUGUAUUUCUAAGGACGGGUAAUGUACCCGUUUCUGCAAACAGUUAUUUUUA